rfam:Triticum aestivum genome assembly, contig: Triticum_aestivum_CS42_TGACv1_scaffold_306627_4AS
AAAGUACUCCCUCCUUCCCGAAUUACUUGUCGCGGGUAUGGAUGUAUCUAGAUGUAUUUUAAUUCUAGAUACAUCCAUUUCUGCAGCGAGUAAUUUGGAACGGAGGGAGUAGGUU